CAGCCGCCGCGGGAAUACGAGGGGGCUAGCGUUGUUCGGAAUUACUGGGCGUAAAGCGCACGUAGGCGGCUUUGUAAGUUAGAGGUGAAAGCCCGGAGCUCAACUCCGGAAUUGCCUUUAAGACUGCAGAGCUAGCAGGUGAGAGAGGUGAGUGGAAUUCCGAGUGUAGAGGUGAAAUUCGUAGAUAUCCGGAGGAACACCGAUGGCGAAGGCAACUGCCUGGGCCUGAUCUGACACUGAGGCACGAAAGCGUGGGUAGCAAACAGGAUUAGAUACCCCCGUAGUCCCUGUCUCUUAUACA
rnacentral:rRNA from 1 species